CCCUUAGAUGUUCUGGGCCGCGCGCGUGCUACACUGAGUGGAUCAGCGGGUCAGGUUGCGCGAAAGCGUUUCCUAAUCUUUAAAUCCGCUCGUGAUGGGGAUUGACGGUUGCAAUUUUCUGUCAUGAACGAGGAAUACCUUGUAAGCGCGGGUCAUCAUCCCGCGCUGAAUACGUCCCUGCCCUUUGUACACACCGCCCGUCGCUCCUACCGAUUGAGUGGUCCGGUGAGGCUUUGGGAUCUGAGCGGAAAGAGCGUUUCGCUGUUUCUGCUCGGAAAACUCAGUCGAACCUUACCAUUUAGAGGAAGGAGAAGUCGUAACA
rnacentral:rRNA from 1 species